rnacentral:rRNA from 1 species
AAAAGUAACAAGGUUUCCGUAGGUGAACCUGCGGAAGGAUCAUUG